rnacentral:piRNA from 1 species
UAGAGGUUUAAUUAAUUCAGC